GACGAACGCUGGCGGCGUGCUUAAUACAUGCAAGUCGAAUGGAAAGGCCCUGCUUUUGUGUGGUGCUUGAGUGGCGAACGGGUGAGUAACACGUGAGUAACCUGCCCUUGACUUUGGGAUAACUUCUGGAAACUGUGGCUAAUACCGGAUAGGAGCUCCUGCUGCAUGGUGUGGGUUGGAAAGUUUCGGUGGUUGCGGAUGGACUCGGGGCUUAUCAGCUUGUUGGUGAGGUAGUGGCGUCCACUGGCUUUGACGGGUAGCCGGCCUGAGAGGGUGACAGGGCACAGUGGGCCUGAGAAGCGGCCCGGACGCCUACGGGGGGCAGAAGUGGGAGAUAGUGCACAAUGGGCGGAGGCAUGAAGCAGGAACGUCGCGUGCGGGAGGUCGGCCGUCGGGGAGGAAACCGCGUGCGCCUGUGACGAAGCGAGAGUGACGGUAAUGGGUAAAAAAGCACCGGCUAACUACGUG
rnacentral:rRNA from 1 species